CUUGCGUGUCGUGUGUAAAAUUUUAUAAGGUGCAAAGCAGAUCAGCAGUUUGAAGUUUGAACUUGUCGAUCCUUUUUGCCAUGAAACUAAAAUUAUUUUCUUGCGCAAUUGUCCUUGCCUGCAUGUCAAGCGUGCAAGCGAUUAAUGGAGACUUAGCAGCCCAAGGGGAAUUUCCAUAUGUGGGGUCCGUGCGCCUGCCAAAUUUUCCAGUGGGGACAAAUAAUUACUGCACAGCGAUAGUUUUGAACAAGGAUUGGGCUCUUGCACCAGAUAACUGCGCAAGACUUUUGCAAGGCAGCCGAUGAAAUUCAUCUGGGCUCUGUGAAAUUGCCUUAUUAUACACACAUUGUCGCUACCAAAAUAACUCACCCCGAUUACAACUAUCCUUUGUAUAACGCCAAUUUGCUUCAGGUGACGACGCCAUUUGAUCUUUCUGAUCCAGCAAGAGUUUCUCCAGCAAUCUUGCCCGACGCCUCCUUCACAGUCCCUCUUGGUUCCCAAGGUUUUAUUGCUGCCUACGGCGCCGACCCUAAUGAUCAACAGGACGAAAACAUGAGGAAGGUACAAGUGACGGUGGUGGACAACAGCGAGUGCGGUUAUAGCGGCGAGAGUUUAUUGCUUUGUGCCAAGGCUGCUGUUGGAGGAGCGUGCAGUUGGGAUUUGGGCGCUCCUUUGACAGUAAACGGCAUCGUCGUUGGCUUCUCAACUUCCGAAGGAUGCCAAGGGACUCCGUUCUUAUUGGUCGCGACUGCUCCGCUAGUUGACUGGAUUAAUUCAAAUGUGAAUUAAAAAUCUUUAUUGAAUUUAAAAACAACAAUUUUAAUACGAUUUUGAUGAAAAGAAACCUUGCGAUAAAUAAAUCAAACGUUUAAUAUACUUAAUAAUUAACGGCUCCAGUUCGGCGAGUAGGUUUAAGUUGGAAACACUUUUGCUUCCAAAUUGAGCCUAUGAGUUUUAGUAAGUUGUUUACUAGAGCUGGCUGCCAAUUCUCUCCCAAUGUGAUUUUUCUAAUUCUGUUUGACUUUUUGCGAGAGAAUUAAUGAAUUGAAUAGUUUUAUACGUAAUUAUUAUGGUGUUGUCGCGUUGAAGGAGUG